UAUUUUACUGCGGAAAAAUCGCAGCGCUUUCUCGUGCUCCAUUCGCUGGAAAUCUGACAUCUCAUUGGUGUUGGCCAUUACAAGAUCCAUGUAUUUUUCCAUAAUUGCGUUCUCACCGGUGACAAGUGUUGUUCUCUCUCGUGCUUGGGCUGUCGCCAGCUUUUCACUUGAUAGUUGAAGCUGUACCUCAGACGUUCUUUCUGAUGUGG
rnacentral:lncRNA from 1 species